rnacentral:rRNA from 1 species
AAAGAGCUUGCUCUUUCCGGAAUUGAGUGGCAAACGGGUGAGUAACACGUAAACAACCUGCCUUUCAGAGGGGGACAACAGUUGGAAACGACUGCUAAUACCGCAUGACACAUAGGUGUCGCAUGGCACUUAUGUCAAAGAUUUAUCGCUGAAAGAUGGCCUCGCGUCUGAUUAGCUGGUUGGAGGGGUAACGGCCCACCAAGGCGACGAUCAGUAGCCGGUCUGAGAGGUUGAACGGCCACAUUGGGACUGAGAUACGGCCCAGACUCC